rnacentral:lncRNA from 10 species
GAAAAGAAAAAUUCUAUUAUCUCCACAGGAAUUUCAAGUGGCUAAUAAGAAUUUAGUAGCCUGACUUUCAAAUAGCCCAGUAAGCCUAUACAGGCAUUGAUUUUAAGAAUACACUUCUAGAUAACUAAUAGUUAUCAAACUAGAUUACAACACUGGCUUAAUUUUCAUCUGAGGGAUAGAGAAAAAAUCCCGCCACCUCGUGACUAUAUCAUUAGAGCUGUGGGAUAUAGAGGAAAGGACGCUGGAUAGAGGGUCAGAGGGCUGAGGUCUAACCUAGAUUCUGCCACAUGUCAGCAGUUUGAACAUGAGAAUUCAACUUCUCGGGGCCUCUGCUUUCUCAUCUGUAGAAUGAGGAGUGGAGCUGGAUGAUAUGUUACCCAAUUCUCAGAUUAAAACAAAAAUUAUCCCACUUCUCUAAAUGUCCUUGAAUGGAAAAUCCUACAUUCAUAUUGGUGUGCUUAUGUCUACAAUAAUAAAUUAUGUUUCUGAAGCUAGGAUUCUCUUUCCCAUGAGGAAGUCUUUAAAGCUCAUGUUACCACCAUUCCUUAUUUUGAGUGUUAAACUAAGAUCACAGAGGAUUCAGGGUCUCUGACUUUCAUCCUUCCAACAACGGAUGGCUUCAUAGUAUGAAUACUAUACGUGACAGUAGCACUUUCAUUUUUUAAAAGUAUUUACAUGUAUUAUUUAAUUUGUAUCUCACAGCUACCUAGUAAGGUAAAUGGUAGAUACUAUUAUUCCUAUUUUGAACAGAAAAAUUAAAUGAGACUUAGAGAAUUUCAGUCACUUGCCCCAGUACAUAAGAAUAUUCACAAUCAACCAAGGAAUUGUUUAUUAAUAUGGUCUCUGGAGCACAGUUCAACAACAUGUACUAAAAUGUAAAACAUGCAUAGCCUUUGACCAAGCAAUUCCUUUUCCUUCUUUUUUUUUCUGUAGAAACAGGGUCUCCCUAUUUUGCCCAGGCUGGUCACAAACUCCUGGCCUCAAGCAAUUCUCCCUCACCAGCCUCCCCAAGUGCUGGAAUUACAGGUAUAAGCCUCUGUGCCCAGUCUGACUAAGCAAUUCCAAUUUUAAAUAUUUUAGACAAGUAUACAAAGAUGUAUUCUCAAAGAAAAUAAUCACCACACUUUUUAUAAUAGGGAAAAAACAGAAGCAACCUAUAUAUCCAUGAAUAGGAGACUAGGAAAAUAUAUUAAAACACAGCCAGGCAGUGGAUUAAUAUGCAGCGUUAAAAAUUAUAGCAUAGGCUGGGCAUGGUGGCCCACACCUGUAAUCCCAGCACUUUAGGAGGCCAAGGUCGGCAGAUUGCUUGAGCUCAGGAGUUUGAGACCAGCCUGGGCAACAAGGCAAAAGCCCAUCUCUACAAAACAUAUAGAAAAAUUAGCCAAGCAUGGUGACCUGGGUGUGGUGGUGCAUGCUUGUAGUCCCAGCUAGGAAGCUGAGGUGGGAGGAUUGCUGGAGCCCCAGAGGUGAAGGCUGCAGUGAGCCGUGAUUGCACCACUGGACUCCAGCCUGGGCAACAGAGCAAUACCAUGUCUCAAAAAAAAAAAAAAAAAAAAAAAAAAAAUGUAAAGAAAAGAAAAAGAAAAAGAAAAAUGAUAGCAUAGAGUUAUAGUUGGUAAAGUAGAAAUAUGGCCACAACUUACCUUUGAUUUGGAGAAAAGGGGUGGAGGAAGUAGGGUUAAGACAUCAAUCAGCACUAUCCAAUAGAAUUCUAUACAAUUUGGAAAUCUUUGCUGUCCAGUACAGUUGCCACUAACUACUAUUAAAAGGUGGCUAGUGUGACUAAGAAAUUGCAUUUUUUUCAGUUUUAUUUCAUUAUAAUUUAUUUAAAUUUAAAUAGCCACAUGUAACUAGUGGCUACCAUAUUGGGCAAUGCAGUCAACAUAGAUAUUUUAUGUGUUAUUUUAUAAUAAAAAAUAUUAAAUGUUUUGUUUAAACAACAACAAAAACAACCAACUUGUGUCUAGGAGACAACUAGAAGAUACAGAAAUAAAUUAGUCAACGACAGCUUUAUCUAAAAAGCUGCAAUGCCUGCAAUAUUAGGCCCAAGUGCACAUUUUAUACACAUAGUUUCUGUACUUUGGCAUAACUAUGCUAAUUUGGCAAGUUUCCUAGAUACUAGUCCACAUACUAGGAAAUAAAUAGCUGUAUACAAAUAAAGCUAUAUCUUUUGUGCAAACUCUGCAGAACAGGCCAGAAAGAAAAAUAAAUGGAAGGAAGCAGAAAAUGGGAACUGGAACAUUGAAAGUAGGAUCAGGUUUUUUAAAAAAGGAUAAUAAAUUAUUCAACUCACUAAGUGAAUAUGUAGUAAUUAGGAAGCUCAUGUUUUCUUCUUAUGAGUUUUGAUUAUAUCAAAAUUACUGAAGCAACAAAAUAUCUUAUUUUCUUGUAUACCAGCCAGUAUAAAAUUUAGUCUUGAUGAAUCAUGCAAACUAGCUAAAGGCUAAUCUGACUUUCAGACCUGCACAAAGUAGGAGACAUGUUUGUUUGUUCAUAAGUAUUUCCAAAUUCCAAUCCACUUGCAAAUAUAAAGCAAUAGAGUAAACUAAUUUUUUCCACUACCAGAUAUUAGAUAGAUAAAACAUAAUAAUAAAGCCACUUUCCUCGUUUUGUUAUUUUCAACAUUUUACUAUUAUAAAUGAUAUAGUAAACAUAUUCACAUAGAAGGGAUUUUUUCUAUAUUGGGAUUUAAAGAAGCUUUCUUAAAGACCAAAUUGGCCCAAAUUGUAGCAUUCUUAACAGUAAAACUAUAACUAACCAAGGCCCUCAAUUAAUUCGAUUCCUCCCUCCUUCUACUUUUUAGAAGGAAAAAAAGAAACCUCAAGAAAAGAUAUUGAAGCAAGGAGCAAACUUGCAGUAUAAAUCUCUUAAUACAUCCAAAUCUGUUACUCUUACGUGAAAAUGAUAUUAUAACUGAUGACUUCAAAAACUUCAGUAUCAUUAAUCCUGAGAAAGCUUUAGGUAUGUUCAGUACUAUGCACUUGAUUUUUGAAAGAGAAAGUAUACUAAUACACAAUAAAAAUAUAGUACAAUGGAGAGUCAAACUUAUUUUUAUCUCAUUGUGUUAACUAAAAAUUUCAAACAAAAUAUGCCCUGCCCCUUGCAGGCCUUGUUAAGUGAGGCUAUAUUUCCUAUAUUUCAUUGUGUUUUAAUGACCAAAACCAAAUUAUAGAAGAGUGUAUUUUGAUUGGUAGCAUAUAUAAGUUGCCACAAAUCAAUCCCUCUCCCUCUCCCUCUCUCUCUCUCUCUCUCACACACACACACAUCCCAGCUCACCCUACCACAGUCACAAAAUCAGCAAGCAGUAUUUGGAUUGGGAUAGAAUCAUAAUCAGAACUACUAACAUUUCAUGUAGCAUCAGAAAUUUCAAAAUUCUUCUAAAGAAUGAUCUUGAUUUUUACAACAAUCUUCAGAGGUGAAUAUUUACAGCUAAGGAAAUUCAGGUUCAUAGAAAUUACUAAAUUGC